GACAACCAGAAUUGGACACCUGCAGAAGAGGCCUCACCAAUGGCCUGUAUGAUCUCAACAUGACGUCUCAACUUCUCCACACAACAGACUGAGCAAUGAAGGGAAUUGGAAAGGAUUUACAGACAGGCAGCUCAAGUCAAAAAUUGGAUCAACAGCUGCCAGUAACACUCAAUUCUCGAGUGCUUUGAACGUGGAAGAAAAAAAGCAUCGUUCAAGUGAAGAGAAACCAUACAUGUGGUCUGUGUGAACAAGCCUUCAGUCAAUCGUCUGGCCUGUCGAUACGUAAAUGCAGUCAAAACAGGAUGACAACAAUGACAUCAAGCAGCACUUGCUUUGCAAUAUCACAGUGAUGGAUCUCAGUUUGAGUUCAGCAAGGGCCACUCCUGAUCUCCUUACAUUUUUGGUGCAAACAUGGACCAAACAGCUGAAUUCCAAAUGAGAGUGUGACUUUCCUGCCAUCUUAAGGCUCCAGUUGACAGAGCAUUGUAUCAAGGAAUCAUAGCAAAACUGGAGUCAACGGGAUUCAGAGAAUAUUAUUCUCGCUUUGAUUGUGGGUUUUUGAAAAGGUUGCAUCUUCAGACCCGAGUAGAUCAAAACAAGGUGAAUUUAUUCAAGCUUGUACCACAUAUAUGCGGAAGAGGUCUCCUAGUCUAGCUUGGAGAUACUCUACCACUUGUAGCUCAAAACAGCAUAUUGAGACGUUUUCACGUCAGGAUGGUUGUAUGUAACAUUGGCGUAAAAUAAAUUAGAUCAGUCAUUGACUACAAAA